rnacentral:lncRNA from 1 species
GUCUGGAACGGAUGGGAGCCGUCGGGGUGUUUCGCGCCCGGCUGUGCAGAGCCGCGGAGGACGUGCCACGCGAAGCCCAGGCCCGAUCUUCCCCGGCGUAUAGCACUGUUGUAUCCAGUAUCCCCCAGUUGCCUGGCCUUUGACAUCUCCGCCCGGCCGCAGGAGAGCGGGCCCCUCCGGGUCCAGCUGCUGGUCUGCGCGUGUCGGUGCGCUCCCGCGCCAAGCCCUGCGGGUGGACGCUGCAGUGUGUUUAUUUCUUUCUCCCGCCCAGCUCGUUGUUUGCUGUUUGGGUGGUGUCCCGCUCGGGCUCAUGACUGUCAUACUAAAGGAAGAACUCUGUUGAAGGUUAGCAACACGCUGAGGUUCGCCAGGGGCGGCCACGCGUGGAAAAUGGGCGGAGAAACGAAGGUCAGCGCUUGUUUGAGAGCACAGGAAGAACGUUCUAGGAGACAGGCCGAGUACCGCGCGAGUCGUCCAGCAGGUGGCGCGGCAAGCGUACCGUACGGAGAGCAGGUCGCCCGUCCUGCUACCUGUGCGGGGAAACACCCCCGUGAAGAGAGAAAGGGGACGGGGCAUUUUCAGGGACAGAUGAGUGCUUGUGUCCAGUGAUUUGUGUCCUAGGACCGGGACUUACAAAAAAUAAAAAACGUGUGUGUGUGUGCAUGUGUGUGCGCUCAUCUAUCCACAGAGGCGGAGCACAUUCUUAAUUUGCUCAUCCAUCCGCCCAGCCCCAGCGCUUACCGAGUGUCACCAAGGACUUCCCAAGGUCACACUGCUAACUUAGCUAAGGACCAGGUUUCCUAUUGAGAUAAGGCAAAAUCUUAGACACCCCCAGAUUCAUGCUGUUUGCUUCCGGAAAAAACUUUUGGCAUUCAUUUAGCUGUCAGUGUGUUUAAUAUUUUAGGAGAAAGGCACACAGCGGCAUGCGUGUGGGACCAGGAGCCCUUGGGCUUCUGGUUCUCGCAGGAGCAGUAGUAGCGGGUGGCACCCAGAGGGGCGUGAGUCGUCCAGUGCAGUGUGUAAGCCUUGGGAGGCGACUGCUGGGUGGGCAGAAGGGCAACUCUAGAGGGCAUUCUGUGGGCAGGUAGGGAAACUUAAACUUGACCAUUGGAGACAUUUGACCAUGAAUACGGUGUGAGGCAAGAACAAUUGUUAAAUUUUUUGCAUGUGAUAGUGGUGAUGUGGUUUUGUAGGAGUGUCUUUGUGUUUAGGAGAUGCAUGCCGAAGAGUUUAGGGGCCGAGCGUCAUGAUGUCAUGAUUACCCUACUUUCUUUCAAAUUGUUCUCUCCCCCCCUUCUUUCUCUCUCUCCUCUCAAUAAAG